rnacentral:lncRNA from 1 species
CCCCAAUAUUUUUUUAAUUUAAAAUAAAUAUUCUAUAAGGAUGUUUAGUUGUAAAUGAAAUCAGAACACAUUAAAAAUUGUAUUGUGUCGUUGGGUUGCUGUCUCAUUGACUGGUUUCCGGUUUUCCUUCAUUUGACGAAUACAUUUCUGUCUUUUAUCCUGGAAGACUUACAUAUACAUUCAAUAUAUACUGUCCAUUUUUCACACUGAAUAUGCAUGAUAUAUUUGCCUCUUGACAACAAACAACAGAUAAAACCAUUUGAAAUUAUAUGUAUAUUAAACUGUAUGACAUGUUUUAAGUGUAUUCGUGUGUUCAUAUCCUAAUAAUUUUUAUGAUGAAUGUUUUUGUUGUUAAUCAAGAACAAAUAACACCCUACAGACUCGUAUGUUCUAAUAACGGUGUGUCCUACAUCGAGAUAAAACUUCGUUGAAACAAAUUUACGGAAAGAUUCUGAUUGAUUUAGAAAAUGUAACUUGAAUCUUCCUCGGCUGUUGUAUUUGUUGGUCGAAUAUGAAUUUUUCGGCAUUUUUUUUUUUAAACAUUGAAAAUUCAUUUGUCCUAUAUCAUGUAUAUUCGAUAUUGAACAUCAAAAAACUUGUCCCGAGUAAAAAAAAAAAAACUUUUAUCUUUUAUGUCUAAUUAAUACUCUAAUGAGAAGAUAUUAUCCAUGAAUAUGUUAGGCAUUUUCUUUUAAUAAACGAUUUUAUUUUUACUAAAUCAAAUGGAUUGAACAGGCUUUUUGGUAUUUAUUUUAACACACACACACACACACACAACUUCUAUUUGUAUGUAAUAUAAAUAACGGAAGUUUUUUUUUUUACGUUAGAUAAAACGGACAUACAUGAACAUUACAGCUGAUUGCAUUGAGUGUGUAGGUAAAGGUAAUAUCUUUGGUUAGCUUGCUGACUGAACCGUGAAGCCAUUAUUAUGUUAGGUAAACUACCCUCCUUUAAAAAUAUACUAGACCGACAAAUAACCAAUCUAUGUGUCUGUAAGACUAGAUUUUUUUCGAAAGGAGGGAAGUAAAACAAAAGAACCAAAGAUAUAUUACCUUUACCUACAUACUCAAUGCAAUCGGUUGUAAUUACUUUAUUCGAUUCACAUUUGUUUUAACAUAGAUCUACAUAGAGUCAUUCGAAAUGAAUUUAUGGGUGUGUGUUAUCACCCGAAUACAAAUUCAACUUAAUCAAUUAUGAUUUAUAUAACAGAACUACUUUAAUACUUUCUUGAAGGUUCUAUAUACAAAAUAUGUUUUAACUAAAUGCAUUUUGUUUUUGAUGUAUGAAUUAAAUGAUUGUCACUUGAAGCAAUUUGUGGGAAAUUUUGCAUACGCAAAGGACAUGAUUGUUGCUAUUGAUCCAUUUCCCUUUGCUGUUUCAGAGCAUCCCUUACGAACCCACAACUAUUGUUUUAUGUACAUAUUAUUAAUUUGAACUUUUUGAAGUGUCGUGUAUGGUGUUUUUUUUGUGUACAUGUAAUACAAUGUGUAAUCUUUGCAUUUUAACCCGCUGCCCGGGUUUUGAUUUUUGCAAUGAAGAUUGUCAUUUAAGUUUAACCAUAUGUAUGUCCUUCAUCCUAAUCUGUCCUCGAAAUAAAAACGAUCAAAUUUAAAUGUGUCAUUAUUACUCUGCUGUUCAUAGCUCCCUACCUCCUGUUGAUUCUGAUAGACAUACAUGUAUGCUGUACAUUAUUUUUCCCCGUCUGGUCCUAUAUUUGCCACUGGACGUUCUGGAACUAACCUUGAAUAUUUCACGUCCUUCUAAAACGAAGAUCAAAGAAAGCCUAAAUGGUAUACGUCAAUGUUACCGUAUGCAAACG